CACGGACCGCACGAACGUUAUUCGAUAUCACUGGGCUUAAAGGGUGCGUAGGCGGCCUGCCAAGUUGGGUGUGAAAGUCCUCGGCUCAACCGAGGAAUUGCGCUCAAUACUGGCGGGCUUGAGAGAGACAGAGGUAAGCGGAACUAAUGGUGGAGCGGUGAAAUGCGUUGAUAUCAUUAGGAACACCGGUGGCGAAGGCGGCUUACUGGGUCUUUUCUGACGCUGAGGCACGAAAGCCAGGGGAGCGAACGGG
rnacentral:rRNA from 1 species